CUGUCGCCUGGGCGAUCCACCCGCACACGGGGUCUGACACGCCCGGCACAGGGUGGCCGCAACCAAUGGAUUCCUCCAAGAUAAAGUCCUCGGCGCUCCCAUCGUCCAUAAGGACGGAACAGCCGCUGGCCAAAAUCCACCACGCGUUCGGCCCGACUUUGGAGCACGUCGCAGACUCUAGGCGCACUCUGUCCCUGGCCAUGCACGCCCGCACUAACGGCAAUGGCCACGCACCCUCGCCCGUCGUAGGUCGCGUAGGCGCCACGGGCGCCACCGGACCGACCUGGCCGGCGAAAAAGGCUGCAGCAGCCUCGCCGACUUUGGCCAGCAUAUUGAGUGCCUCGCCGACAUGCCUGAUUCUGGUCUCCUCGCGCGAGUCCACAUCAAACAUCAUUGACCGGCAGACGCCCAGGGUUUGCGCCAAUGCGCGACACCAGUCCGAGAUCGUGCGCACGGCCGUAGCGUCCUCAAGGCGGAUCACCGCCGCCAUCCGGGGCAGGGCAUCGUUGACCUCGCCAUAGUAAUAGAGCCGCCCCUUGGGGAUACAGGUGCGGUCGCCGGCGCCGACUUUUAUGUAGCAAUCGUGGCAAAUGCACUUGGUGGCCUCGACAAAGCGAUCGACCAGGCUUUCCCAGCCUGUGAAUGGUUUAUCUUGGUCGUUGAUACGCACCAUGGGGCCGCCCUUGUAUAAAUGGGGACCCACAAACUCGCGUAAGACGGCCUCGUCGUGCUUUCGGUGGUCCAUGUAUGUGUGGUCGACACAAUUGUCAGCAUUGAGAAAGAAUCGCUCGUGGAGAGCCUCUUGUUUGUCUUGUUCCUUUUUUUCAACCAAUGACAUAGCCCC
rnacentral:lncRNA from 1 species